UCUUGCACUAUGUUUGCUACUUCGAGACCAAAUAUCUUUUUUGUAGUUCUUGUGUGAAAUAAAAAAUGUGAAUAAAUGUCUACAAUGUGUUUGAUAAAAUAUCUCAAUUGGGUUGUUUGAGAAUUUUAAGUAAAAGUGGAUAUUUAAAAUAGUGAGAAGUUAAGAUACUUAAAGCACAAAUAGCAAAUCGAAUAAAGGUUACAACUUGUUUCACAUAUAGUUUAUUUUCUUGUUAACCUUAUGAAAAUAAUGAAGUUCACUAAUUUUUAGGAUGUGAUACUAACGGAGCCUUUGGUUAGGACUAUGUUGAUUAGUGAACUUCAUUGUUGGAGCGGAAGUCUUUCAAUGACUUUUCUUUAUUCAUUUGAUACUUCAAUAGCUAAGGGAACUAUGAUAUAUAACAUUCUUGUGUUAGAAAGUCAAUAGUUUAGAACUUCAUUUAGUAUCUUAUUUAUACUUUUUGUAAUGUAGAUUUAUGAAUAUCGCACCAACUGAGUCUCAAGAUGGAUGUAAUGUGCCAAUAAAAUUUGGGAUGAAAUUUGAUUUCGAUGAGCACGCUUAUGACUGCUAUAAUGAAUAAGCAGGUUCAGUUAGCUUUAGUAUUAGAAAAGAAUAUGCUAAUAAAAAUAGAGUUCAUGGGUAUGUGACUUCAUCAAAAUUUAUAUGUUAUAAAGAAGGUUAUAGAAGCACGGACAAAUGAGAUUCGACGGUUCAAAAGCAUAGAAAGGAAACUAGGACAGGGUGCUUAGCUCAUAUUACUAUUAAUCAUCAAUCGAAUGGAAUGUUUCGCAUCACUUCGUUUGAAGAGAAGCACAACCAUCCUUUUGUUGAUUCUUCUUUAGCUCAUCUGUUACCAUCUCAAAGAAAGAUAAAAAUUGCUCAAGCAUAUGAACUUGACUUAUUAGAUGAUUCAGGAAUAAGUCCUAAAGCUUCAUUUGACUAUGCUGCUCGUCAAGCUGGAGGACAAUCUUUUCUAGGUUACACAGAGAGAGAUCACAAAAAUUAUCUCAGGGAUAAAAGACAAGAAGAUUUGAAACAUAGAGUGGCUCGUAGCUUGGUGAGUUAUUUUGAGAAAAGAACACUUGAAGAUCCGACUUUUCGAUUUUCUUUAGACUUAGAUGAUGAUAGUUUGAUAAUAAUGUAUUCUGGGCUGAUGCAAAGAUGAUAAGAUAUAUGGAGAUGUUGUGUCCUUUGACACAACAUAUAGGACAAAUAAAGAGUAUCGACCCUUGGCAUUGUUUGUUGGUUUGAAUAAUCAUCGGGAAAUGGUUAUAUUUGAUGCAACUCUCCUAUAUGAAGAAUCAACUGAAGCGUUUGAAUGGCUUUUUAAUGCAUUCAUUAGUAUUAUGUCUGCAGAUAAACCAAAAACAUUCAUGACAGAUCAAGAUCCCGCAAUAGCUUCUGCUGUCUCAUCAGUAAUGCCAGAUAUAUAUCAUCGCCUAUGUGUAUAGCACUUGGAAAAAAAUUGCUUUUAAACAUCUUAAUCAUAUCUUUAGAGCUAAUUCAUCAUUUCCGAGGGAUUUUAGUAAACUACUUUACGAUUAUGAGUAUCAGGAUGAUUUUUUAAGUGCAUGGCAGGAUAUGCUUGAGAAAUAUGAUCUUGAAGAUAAUAGUUGGUUGAAAACUACGUUUGCUAUAAGGGAGAAAUGGUCGAUGACAUAUGGAAGAAAUACAUUUUCAGCAGGUAUGCAAAGCAUACAAUUAAGUGAGAGUUUUAAUGGAUCUUUAAGGGGAUAUUUGAAAUCUGAUUUGGAUAUUGUUCAAUUUUUUAAGCAUUUUCAAAGAUCAGUUGAUGAUAAGUGCACCAAUGAGAAUAAAUCAAAUUUUGAUAUGACUCAAAGAGUACCUAUUUUAAAGGUUAAACUUCCUUUAUUGAUUCAUGCUAGGGAUGUAUACACCCCAACUAUAUUUGACAUGUUCCAAAAUGAAUGGGAAAGCUCACUAUUUGUUUCCGUAAAGGAUUUUCAUAAUGAAGGAGAAUUGAGUACAUACAAUGUUAGCACUUCUGGAAGUGUUAAGGAGCAUGCAAUAAUUAUCAAGCGAUCGGUAACUCAAGUUUCUCGCAGCUGUAAAUUUUUUGAGUUUAUGGGUAUACUAUGCAGACAUGCUUUAAAGAUCCUUGAUAUACUGAAUGUAAAGGAUAUGAUUCCUGCGCAUUACAUACUAAAGAGGUGGACAAUAGAUGUUAUAAGCAUGCAUGAUAUGGAUGUCAAUCUAGUAGCAAAAGACUCUGAUCCGAAAGUUGAAGUUAUUGCGAGGUAUAGACAUUUAUGCCAAACUUUUGUUCAAAUUUUGAGUGAAGCUUUUGAAUCCAGAAAAGGGUAUGAAUUGGCUGCAAAGUGUGCGAACGAGGUAAUUGCAAAGUUAAAUGAUGUAAAUAAGAGAAGUCAAUCACAUGAAGAGCCGACUCCAAGCAAUAAUAUCCAAAAUAAACCGAGUUAGACAUUAUUUGUUGAUAAUACAAAUGUCACGAAGGUGACUGGGUUAAAAAGGAAGCAACUGAUUCGUCGCUCUAAUACUCGGUCAAAGAGUUUUGUGGAAAAGGCCCAGAGAAAAAAUAAGACUUCAUUACCAAAAUUUCCUCUUAGCCAAACAGACUAGCAGUUAGAUAACUUUCCAUCUCUUCAAGUUCCAGAUCCACCAUUAUCAGAUGCAUCCAUGACUAUGGUAUCAAAUGACAUCUAAAUUUUCCUUGUUUAUGGAGUACAACGUAAAAACUAUCCUUUAAAUAAUAGGAAGUGGCAAAAGGAAGUUUUUGUUCAUGGUGCCCUUCACAAUUACCUCAAGGAUCAUCCCACGGAAGUCUGACUCAACUCUUAAGAAAUGUUUCAUUUCAUGAUUUAAACAAGUAUUCUCAACAUUAAUUAUGACAACUUCGGAAAGGCAGAGAUACCCUGGUGAUGGUGACUUCUGCAACCAUCGUCUUCAUCUCAAAACCAUGAUAUGGACCAAAAUGUCGAUCUUUAACACAGCUGUAUCAUUCAAGUUUGGAUGUGGUCGGAUAAUUCAUCAAUAUACAAGAGACAUUUGGAGAAUUGAACCUGUUGAAUUGCCUUAAAGUUAGCCAGUUAAGGGUGAAGCUAAUUUUGUGAGGUUCUCACAUACUGUUAUCAACAAAUCUUGCCAAUUCUUGUUACUCAAAUGUAAUUCCGGUUUAAGAGAAGAUUUGAAUAUUGUUGUCAAUAUAAUACAACUGAUUCCAUGUGAAAGUAAUGCAUCUUGCUUUUAACUGUUCCGGUUUUACCAUUUCCAGUUUGGGCAAGUUUAACAUUGCACUUCCUUGUGAAAAAGAAUGUCAACUGCUUAAAAUAUGUGGAAGGGUCUAAUGGUGGACAUAAAGGUCAAAAUAUCUACUCCAUAAAAAACGUUGAAAA